rnacentral:lncRNA from 1 species
AUGGAGGGGAAGCCCAAGCUUUACUACUUCAAUGGAAGAGGCAGGAUGGAAUCCAUCUGAUGGCUCUUGGCUGCAGCUAGAGUAGAGGUAAGAUGUGGAUUUAUUCAGUGGAACCCUGAUGUAUGGACAAGUGCCCAUGGUCGAAACUCAUGGAAUGAAUUAGGUAGAAACCAGAGCCUUCCUAAGAUACAUAGCUGCAAAAUAUGACUUGAUUCACAUGUAUGUAGAAGGCUUGAAGGACCUGAGUGACAUGAUUAUGUUCCAGCCACUCUCUCUGCCUGAAGAGAAGAUGAAUCUUGCAUACAUCCUUGAAAGAGCCACUACAAGAUUAUUCCCUGUCUGUGAGAAGGUAAGCACUGAGAGACCACAGACAAGAUUUUCUUGUGGGCAAUCGGCUGAGCUGGGCUGAUACACAGCAACCUGAAGUCAUCUUAAUGACUGAAGAGUGCAAACCCAGUGUCCUCUUGGGCUUUCCUCUGCUACAGGUAAUGCUAUCCAAAUAUAUUCUUUUGCAUUUUAGAAAUUCAAGGCCAGAAUCAGCCACAUCCCCACAAUUAAUAAAUUUCUCCAACCUGGAAGCCAAAGGAAGCCUCCACUGGAUGAAGAAUCCAUUGAGACUGUGAAGAAUAUAUUUAAA